rnacentral:rRNA from 1 species
UACGAAGGGGGCUAGCGUUGCUCGGAAUCACUGGGCGUAAAGCGCACGUAGGCGGAUUGUUAAGUCAGGGGUGAAAUCCUGGAGCUCAACUCCAGAACUGCCUUUGAUACUGGCGAUCUCGAGUCCGGGAGAGGUGAGUGGAACUGCGAGUGUAGAGGUGAAAUUCGUAGAUAUUCGCAAGAACACCAGUGGCGAAGGCGGCUCACCUGGCCCG